GGAGGGAUGGCCGAGUGGUCUAAGGCGGCGGUCUUGAAAACCGCUGAGCGUAAGCUCCGUGGGUUCGAAUCCUACUCCCUCCGCCA
rnacentral:tRNA from 1 species